GAAACACCGGUUCUCGUACGAUCACCGAAGUUAAGCAACGCCGAACAUAGUCAAAACCUAGAUGGGUGACGAUUUGGGAAUAUCAGGUGCUGUAAU